GUGGGGAAUAUUGGACAAUGGGCGAAAGCCUGAUCCAGCCAUGCCGCGUGUGUGAAGAAGGUCUUCGGAUUGUAAAGCACUUUAAGUUGGGAGGAAGGGUAGUAACCUAAUACGUUGCUACUUUGACGUUACCGACAGAAUAAGCACCGGCUAACUUCGUGCCAGCAGCCGCGGUAAUACGAAGGGUGCAAGCGUUAAUCGGAAUUACUGGGCGUAAAGCGCGCGUAGGUGGUUCAGUAAGUUGGAAGUGAAAUCCCCGGGGUCAACCUGGGAACUGCGUUCAAAACUGCUGGGCUAGAGUACGGUAGAGGGUGGUGGAAUUUCCUGUGUAGCGGUGAAAUGCGUAGAUAUAGGAAGGAACACCAGUGGCGAAGGCGACCACCUGGACUGAUACUGACACUGAGGUGCGAAAGCGUGGGGAGCAAACAGGAUUAGAAACCCUGGUAGUCC
rnacentral:rRNA from 1 species